UUCGGGCGCCGGCGAGUGGCGAACGGGUGAGUAACACGUGGAGACCUAUCCUUUGGUGGGGGACAACGGCUGGAAACGGCUGCUAAUACCGCAUACGCCCUACGGGGGAAAGAUUUAUUGCCGAAGGAGGGUUCCGCGUCGGAUUAGCUAGUUGGUGGGGUAACGGCCUACCAAGGCGACGAUCCGUAGCUGGUCUUAGAGGAUGAUCAGCCACACUGGGACUGAGACGCGGCCCAGACUCCUACGGGAGGCAGCAGUGGGGAAUAUUGCGCAAUGGGGGAAACCCUGACGCAGCGAUGCCGCGUGGGUGAAGAAGGCCUUAGGGUUGUAAAGCCCUUUCAGUGGGAACGAUAGUGACGGUACCCACAGAAGAAGCCCCGGCUAACUCCGUGCCAGCAGCCGCGGUAAUACGGAGGGGGCGAGCGUUGUUCGGAAUUAUUGGGCGUAAAGCGCGCGUAGGCGGUUUAUCAAG
rnacentral:rRNA from 1 species